AAUUGGAGAUCCUUUUUUGACAGAGGCUGAAAUUGGAGAUCCUUUUUUGACAGAGGCUGAAAUUGGAGAGUCAUACAAAAUCCAGAAUGGAGAAAAGAGAGAUAAACAGUGCUUUUGGGGUAAAAUCCAGGUAUAGGUAUUUGGGCCCACUCUAUGUCAUCUAUACAUAUUAUCAUAUUAGAAUCAUUCUUCUCUUCACUCAGGCUCCUGACCUUGACCUCUUUCCAGGUGCAUUUAACUCCCUUUCCUCAGGUUCUCUAAGAGUUGCCUGACACUUGCCCAGGUCCCCUGAAUAAAAUACAGGUAAAUCAGUGCAUAAGAAGCUUUAUACAGUGAUCUCAGACUUGUGACCAAGAGCCCCUCUGCACCAUUGAUAGACAGUGGCCGUGCCCACCAGGAGGAUGGGCAAUCACACUGCAGUGAGCCUAUUCCUUCUGUGGGGAUUUUCCAGUUUUUCAGACCUGCAGAGUCUACUUUUUGUGGUGAUUCUCUUCUACAUGUGACCAUCCUAGCUGCAAACGUGUCCAUAAUGGGGGCCAUCAAGCUCAGCCACAACCUUCACACUCCUAUGUACUUUUUCCUCUGUGGCCUGUCCUUUUCAGAAACUUGUACCACUGUGGUAGUAAUCCCUCGCAUGUUGGUGGACUUUCUAUCAGAGAGCAAGACCAUUUCUCUUCCUGAGUGUGCCACACAGAUGUUUUUCUUUCUGGGCUUUGCAUCCAACAACUGUUUCAUCAUGGCCGCUAUGUCCUACGACCGCUACACGGCCAUCCACAACCCACUGCAGUACCACACCCUUAUGACAAGAAAGAUCUGCUUGCAGAUGAUGAUGGCUUCUUGGAUGGUUGGGUUCCUGUUUUCUCUGUGCAUCAUCGUCACUGUAUUCAACUUGUCUCUUUGCGACUUGAACACUAUCCAGCACUAUUUCUGUGAUAUCUCACCAGUGGUCUCCCUUGCUUGUAAUUACACUUUCUAUCAUGAAAUGGCUAUUUUUGUGCUCUCUGCCUUUGUGUUGGUGGGCAGCUGUAUUUUAAUUAUGAUUUCCUAUGUCUUCAUUGUGUUCAUAGUCAUAAAGAUGCCCUCUGCAAAGGGGAGGUCUAAGGCCUUCUCAACUUGCUCCUCCCACCUCACUGUUGUGUCCAUACACUAUGGAUUUGCUUGCUUUGUCUAUUUGAGGCCCAAGAACAGCAACUCCUUCGAUGAAGACAUGCUGACGGCCAUGAUAUAUACAAUACUGAUGCCUCUGCUUAACCCCAUCGUGUACAGUCUGAGAAACAAAGAAAUGCAGAUAGCCCUAAGAAAAACACUAGGCAGUGUAUUUGGGGUUUUCCCUCAGAAGACAAAAAAAGAGCCUGAACAUUUAAAAAAAUUACACAGCAUUGAUAAAUAAAGGUGAGAAAAGUGGAGUACUUCUAAUUAAUAUCACUUUGUGCACAAAGUGGUUAAAGUAUUGUCUAAUUUCCUGAUAUGUCCUGGCCUCACCAUUUUCCUACUACAGAGAGGAUGCAGUUUUAAAAUGUUUUUAAAUGUUAUGUGUGUGUGUUUAUGUGUGUGUGCAUGUGUGUAUGUACACAUAUCCAUUCAGGGUACAUAUUGCUUUAGAACACUGUAUUUUAAUGAUAGCAGUUGCUUUUUGGGAAGAAAGAAAAUUAUGAUACUAAAGACAGAAAGACAGCAAGGAAGAGA
ensembl:lncRNA novel transcript